rnacentral:rRNA from 1 species
AUGAACGCUGGCGGCGUGCCUCAUACAUGCAAGUCGAGCGAACAGACGAGGAGCUUGCUCCUCUGACGUUAGCGGCGGACGGGUGAGUAACACGUGGAUAACCUACCUAUAAGACUGGGAUAACUUCGGGAAACCGGAGCUAAUACCGGAUAAUAUAUUGAACCGCAUGGUUCAAUAGUGAAAGACGGUUUUGCUGUCACUUAUAGAUGGAUCCGCGCCGCAUUAGCUAGUUGGUAAGGUAACGGCUUACCAAGGCAACGAUGCGUAGCCGACCUGAGAGGGUGAUCGGCCACACUGGAACUGAGACACGGUCCAGACUCCUACGGGAGGCAGCAGUAGGGAAUCUUCCGCAAUGGGCGAAAGCCUGACGGAGCAACGCCGCGUGAGUGAUGAAGGUCUUCGGAUCGUAAAUCUCUGUUAUUAGGGAAGAACAAAUGUGUAAGUAACUAUGCACGUCUUGACGGUACCUAAUCAGAAAGCCACGGCUAACUACGUG